rnacentral:lncRNA from 1 species
UCUUUUUUUUUUUGAUAUCUUGUUUUUCAGAGAAAUUAAAAUUAAGACAAAGAGGAGAAAUAGUCUAUAAGAACAUGAUGAGGAUUAUCUGGCCACAACAUUAAUUUCUACCUUGAUCUUUCUUGUAUCCUUUUCUUGCUGUCUGAAUCACAUGUCUAGAACUUUCCCUUUACCACCUGAGAUGGUCAGUUCUCCUCUGAUCUCUACCCUAUAAUCUCAGACUAGCCUGCAACUCCCUAAAGGCAGGGACUCUCUAACCUUGUGCCUGUUGAUAACCCUAUAGUAGCCCACCAUAUUGCAUGGAUAUCAAUUCUUGAUGAACAGCGAUUGACAAAUUUAACGGAGACUAAGGGUAGAACAAUUGAAUCAUUGCGGCUCUGCUUAAAGUUGCAACGUCAGGCAGCAGUGACCAAAACGAGGCAGAUUAAAAAAAGACCGCUGAUCAAGGCUUUAUUGAGAUUUCACUCCCAGGAGGAACCCUCGGACUGACAGCGGGUAAGAAGAGGGUCUGAGGAGAAGCACGUGGCGGGAGGCUCUGGACAGGACUGGAAUUUUUAUUGGGCUUAUGGCAGGAAGAGAGGGCUUGGGAC